rnacentral:rRNA from 1 species
UCGAACGCUGGCGGUAUGCUUAACACAUGCAAGUCGAACGGCAGCAUGGUCUAGCUUGCUAGACUGAUGGCGAGUGGCGGACGGGUGAGUAACGCGUAAGAAUAUGCCUUGAAGAGUGGGACAACUUGGGGAAACUCAAGCUAAUACCGCAGGUACUCGAGAGAGUAAAGCGGGGGACCUUUAGGCCUGGCGCUUUAAGAUUAGCCUGCGUCCGAUUAGCCAGUUGGUAGGGUAAGGGCCUACCAAGGCGACGAUCGGUAGCUGGUCUGAGAGGAUGAUCAGCCACACUGGAACUGAGAGACGGUCCAGACUCCUACGGGAGGCAGCAGUGGGGAAUAUUGGACAAUGGGGGGAACCCUGAUCCAGCAAUGCCGCGUGUGUGAAGAAGGCCUGAGGGUUGUAAAGCACUUUCAGUGGGGAGGAGGUUUGGAAGGUUAAGAGCUAUUCAAAUGGACGUUACCCACAGAAGAAGCACCGGCUAACUCCGUGCCAGCCGCCGCAGUAA